rnacentral:rRNA from 1 species
CCUACGGGUGGCAGCAGUGAGGAAUAUUGGUCAAUGGGCGGAAGCCUGAACCAGCCACGUAGCGUGCAGGAUGACGGCCCUCCGGGUUGUAAACUGCUUUUAUACGGGAAUAACGCGCCUUACGUGGAGAGCUUUGCAUGUACUGUAUGAAUAAGGACCGGCUAAUUCCGUGCCAGCAGCCGUGGUAAUACGGAAGGUCCGGGCGUUAUCCGGAUUUAUUGGGGUUAAAGGGAGCGUAGGCCGCAUGUCAAGCGUGCUGUGAAAUGUCCGGGCUCAACCCGGACCUUGCAGCGCGAACUGGCUGGCUUGAGUCCGCGGAAAGCAGGCGGAAUUCGUCGUGUAGCGGUGAAAUGCUUAGAUAUGACGAAGAACCCCGAUUGCGAAGGCAGCUUGCUGCAGCGGAACUGACGCUGAUGCUCGAAAGCGCGGGUAUCGAACAGGAUUAGAUACCCCAGUAGUC